rnacentral:rRNA from 1 species
AUUGAACGCUGGCGGCAGGCCUAACACAUGCAAGUCGAGCGGAUGAGGGUAGCUUGCUACCUGAUUCAGCGGCGGACGGGUGAGUAAUGCCUAGGAAUCUGCCUGGUAGUGGGGGACAACGUUUCGAAAGGAACGCUAAUACCGCAUACGUCCUACGGGAGAAAGUGGGGGAUCUUCGGACCUCACGCUAUCAGAUGAGCCUAGGUCGGAUUAGCUAGUUGGUGGGGUAAAGGCCCACCAAGGCGACGAUCCGUAACUGGUCUGAGAGGAUGAUCAGUCACACUGGAACUGAGACACGGUCCAGACUCCUACGGGAGGCAGCAGUGGGGAAUAUUGGACAAUGGGCGCAAGCCUGAUCCAGCCAUGCCGCGUGUGUGAAGAAGGUCUUCGGAUUGUAAAGCACUUUAAGUUGGGUAGGAAGGGCAGUAAGUUAAUACCUUGCUGUUUUGACGUUACCGACAGAAUAAGCACCGGCUAACUCUGUGCCAGCAGCCG